rnacentral:rRNA from 1 species
UGGGGAAUAUUGCACAAUGGGCGCAAGCCUGAUGCAGCCAUGCCGCGUGUAUGAAGAAAGGCCUUCGGGUUGUAAAGUACUUUCAGCGAGGAGGAAGGCGUUAAGGUUAAUAACCUUGGCGAUUGACGUUACUCGCAGAAGAAGCACCGGCUAACUCCGCCGGGAUCAGCCGCGGUAAUACGGAGGGUGCAAGCGUUAAUCGGAAUUACUGGGCGUAAAGCGCACGCAGGCGGUCUGUCAAGUCGGAUGUGAAAUCCCCGGGCUCAACCUGGGAACUGCAUUCG